CAAGCAAAGACUUGAAUACAUUAGCAUGGAUAAUGAAAUAGGACGUUUGAUCCUAUUUUGUUGGUUUCUAGGAUCGACGUAAUGAUUAAUAGGGAUAGUUGGGGGCAUUAGUAUUCAAUUGUCAGAGGUGAAAUUCUUGGAUUUAUUGAAGACUAACUACUGCGAAAAGCAUUUGCCAAGGAUGUUUUCAUUAAUCAAGAACGAAAGUUAGGGGAUCGAAGACGAUCAGAUACCGUCGUAGUCUUAACCAUAAACUAUGCCGACUAGGGAUCGGAUGAUGUUAAUUUUUAAUGACUCAUUCGGCGCCUUACG
rnacentral:rRNA from 1 species